rnacentral:rRNA from 1 species
AUGUCCUCUCCGAGAAGUGCAUCAAGGUGGCCAUCAAAUUGUCGCUGCUACUACUGCUCGACCUGUGCUCUGAACGGGGCUGACACCGCGUGCUGCUUGCCAUUGGAGCAGGCCAUGGAGCUUCUGCUUGCCAUGCGUGCCUCCUUCCUUCGACAGAAGCACCAGGUCGCCGCUGGAGCCGGACAAGGUCAUGAUGACUUGCCUUACCUGAAAGUUGAAAUGUGCCUAGCUCGAAUCCAUUUGUCACUCAAGCGUCUUCCUUUCUACUUCAUAUAUGGUUCUGUUCAGAUGCAGUCGAACAACAAAGAUUGUUUUUGCUUGCUUGUGGCGACCUUCUAUCUUUGCCUGUAUUGCUGA